GACGAACGCUGGCGGCGCGCUUAACACAUGCAAGUCGAACGGAAAGGCCUGCUUUCUCUUGUGGAUUGCGGGUACUCGAGUGGCGAACGGGUGAGUAAAUAGUGAGUGAUCUGCCCCCAACUUGGGUAUAAGCCUGGGAAACUGGGUCUAAUUAUCGAUUGGACUGCAGGGUUGUGCCUGUGGUGGAAAACGUUUUUCUAGUGGUUGGGGAUGAGCUCGCGGCCUAUCAGCUUGUUGGUGGGGUAAUGGCCUACCAAGGCGGCGACGGGUAGACGGCGGGAGAGGGUGGACAGUGACAUUGAGACAGAGACACGGCCCAGACGCGUACGAGAGGCAGGAAUGGGGAAGAAAGGGGAAUGGGCGGAAGCCUGAUGCGGCGAGGGCGCGAGGAAGGUGACGGGCUUCGGGUUGUAAGCUCCUUGCGACCACGAGGUGGCCACCUGGUUGUGAGGGUGGUGACGGUAGUGGUAGAAGAAGCACCGGCUAACUACGUG
rnacentral:rRNA from 1 species